rnacentral:rRNA from 1 species
AAAGGGGAGCAAUCCCUGAGUACAGUGGCGUACGGGUGAGUAACACGUGGAUGAUCUACCUUCUAGUGGGGAAUAACCCUGGGAAACCGGGGCUAAUACCGCAUAAGCUCGAGAGAGGAAAGCAGCAAUGCGCUGGAAGAGGAGUCCGCGGCCGAUUAGCUAGUUGGCAGGGUAAGAGCCUACCAAGGCAGAGAUCGGUAGCCGGCCUGAGAGGGCACACGGCCACACUGGCACUGAAACACGGGCCAGACUCCUACGGGAGGCAGCAGUGGGGAAUCUUGCACAAUGGGGGAAACCCUGAUGCAGCGACGCCGCGUGAGCGAUGAAGCCCUUCGGGGUGUAAAGCUCUUUCGUCAGGGAAGAUGAUGACGGUACCUGGAGAAGCAGCUGCGGCUAACUACGUGCCAGCAGCCGCGGUAAUACGUAGGCAGCGAGCGUUGUUCGGAGUUACUGGGCGUAAAGGGUGUGUAGGCGGUUGUUUAAGUUUGGUGUGAAAUCUCCCGGCUCAACUGGGAGGGUGCGCCGAAUACUGAAUGACUUGGAGUGCGGGAGAGGAGAGUGGAAUUCCUGGUGUAGCGGUGAAAUGCGUAGAUAUCAGGAGGAACACCGGUGGUGUAGACGGCUCUCUGGACCGUAACUGACGCUGAGACACGAAAGCGUGGGUAGCAAACAGGAUUAGAUACCCUGGUAGUCCACGCCCUAAACGAUGCAUAUUUGGUGUGGGCAGUUCAUUCUGUCCGUGCCGGAGCUAACGCGUUAAAUAUGCCGCCUGGGGAGUACAGUCGCAAGGCUGAAACUC